rnacentral:rRNA from 1 species
UGGGGAAUAUUGCGCAAUGGGCGAAAGCCUGACGCAGCCACGCCGCGUGAGUGAUGAAGGCCUUCGGGUUGUAAAGCUCUGUCGGGAGGGACGAAGGGGAAACCCUGACGGUACCUCGCAAGAAAGCACCGGCUAACUCUGUGCCAGCAGCCGCGGUAAUACAGAGGGUGCAAGCGUUGCUCGGAUUUACUGGGCGUAAAGCGUACGCAGACGGUGAGAAAGGUCGGAUGUGAAAGCCCCGGGCUCAACCCGGGAACUGCAUCCGAAACCAUCUCGCUCGAGUGUGGGAGAGGGAAGCGGAAUUCCUGGUGUAGAGGUGAAAUUCGUAGAUAUCAGGAGGAACACCGGCGGCGAAGGCGGCUUCCUGGCCCAUUACUGACGUUCAGGUACGAAAGCGUGGGUAGCAAACAGG